rnacentral:pre_miRNA from 1 species
CGACUACAGCCACUAUUAUAAGGACAUCAAGGACCUGCAGGACAAGAUUCUUGGUGCCAUCAUUGAGAGCUCCUGGACUGUCCUGCAGAUUGACAAUGCCUGUCUGGCUGCAGAUG